GGCUUGCUCCUCAUGCUUGCUCAGCCUGUUUUCUAAUAGAACCCAGGACCACCAGCCCAGGGAUGGCUCCGCCCACCACGGGCUGGGCCCUACUUCAUUGAUCACUAAAUGAGAAAAUGCCUUACAACUGGAUCUCAUGGAGGCUUUUCCUCAGCGGAGGCUCCUUCCUCUCUGAUGACUCUAGCUUGGGUCAAGUUGACACACAAAACCAGCCAGCACAGUCUUGCUCCGGAAACAGUUCAGUCACUGCUUUUAGCUUCAACCUUCUCUUCCUGGACGUGGAUCCUAUUCUUGUCAUCCAGGUUUAUAACUCUCCUCUUCCUCUCCUAGAAGUACCCAGAGCAAGACAGAAGGAAGAGCGGUUUGUGACGCCACAGCAGCAAAGGUGACCUUUUGUGCAAAAAGGCUUUCUGGCUUCCAACUUUCUGAAUCAGUACUGUUUCUGCUCUGCUGCACUGCAGGAAACAAAUUCAACAAGACUGGCCAGGCUUUGGAGAUAGCCCCCUGUCCCGCUCUCAGCUCCUGGAAAGCCCUCCUAACGGAUGACCUUGACGGACACCUCAUGUUUCCUCUCAGUACCUGUCUGCCUGGAGACUUGAAAACAAGCAAAACCAGGAAGCGGCUUACAUCUGAACAGCCUGUGGAGGUCAAGUAGGGUUCUUUGCCUUUCUUUGUUUCUAAAGGAUGUAUUUCUGAGUGACUCACUGAGCUGCCCACGGCCUCUCAGAACCAUUCCAUAACGAAUCUGGGAGACAAGGAGCCUGCUGAAGUUGUCCCUUCCUGGAUACAGAGGAGGUGCUGUCCCGUUAGCCUUUGCUAGUGCCUUUUCGUGUCCCUGCCUCCAGAGUCAUAAACAGAGUGACAAAGCGUUUGUAGAUAACAGUUUCUCCCUCUAAGCUGACCUGCUCCACUAGGCACUUAGGGGAAACCAGAGGCUGUGAGUGGCACUCAUUGGGAUUUUACCCACAUGAAGCCAUGCUGGGAAAAAAGCCCUCUGGGAAGAGAUUUUAUGAUGAAUUGUGAAAACAUUGCUCUUUUGAAAUAUAUCAUCUAGCAAUAUAUUCCUGGCACUCUCGUUAGCUUUCCAGUUCAUAGGCAAAACCUACCACAGCAAAGGACCUCGAAUUCCACGCCUGUAAUUACAUUCACUCCUAUAGGACCUUGGAUGUCUUCAAAGAUAUUUACAUGUCUCCUGUGAUAAUCACUUCUAUGCAGCCAUCUGCUCCCUUUAUUUGGAAGAAUUUCAAAGAAUCUACUUUUGUAAACCCUCCACUCUCAAGACAGGAGCACUUUAAUCAUGUUCAAGACAUCAGCCCAAGAGCAAAAACUAGAUAUAAUUAUGUGUUGUGUUACAUCUGGCCCCAGGACCAUCUCUCCUCUUAGAUUCCCCCCAUACACACACACACACACACACACACACACACACACACACACACACACACAACUCCUCACUGUUACCUGCUCAUGGCUUCCAUUGUGUGCUCAACACUCCCAACGGUUGGCUGUCUGGCUUCUCUCUUGAGCACAGAGGAUUCAGCUCUAAGGCUGAGCUGAAAAAAUUCACCCAGGUGACAUCAUCUUUUCCCAGUUGUUCUAUAUGGGAUGAUUUUUGAUUUCCUAACUUGGUGGUGGGGUGCUACUAGACAUCUCACAGUGCUCAGGGAAAGCCUCGUCUCAAGACCAGACUGACAAUCUCAUCCAUAAUGCCUAGAAGAGAAAUUCUGCUUUUGCCAAGGUAGAGAAAACGUGGGUUUUCUUUUGAACGUCACUUUCCAUGACUUAUUCCCUUUACCCCCUUAUUAGCUCCUCAAUGUAUUUGUCAUUAAAGCACACACUGUAGGGGACUGCUCUUUUGGAUUUGUGUGUGUGUGUGUGUGUGUGUCUCAUUCCCUUAGCUGGAUCUGAGCCUUCAAUAUUUGCCUUUCCUUUUUAUGUCUUUAAUUGUGGCCAACCUAGUGCUAUGUGCUUAGCCCGUCCUCACUCAGUGCAUUCCAGUCAAUGAUUAAUUGUUCACCCAAGUUUGAUGAUGAUGCACUAGGGUAAUGGCCAAGCUUUCCUGAUAGACUUAGAGAGAAGUAAAGGUAAAAAGAUUUCUCUAAGAGACAGAGAUCUAAUAGGCAAAUGCUAGGAGUGAGCAGCAUGUCUUUCGUUUGAUGUUUAUUGACAAUAAUCCAGAUCUUUCUAAAGCAAAUCUUGUAGCACAGAGAAAAAGGAAUGUCAGAACUACAACUAAGGCUCAGUCUUAAAGGACUGAAAUGGCCUGAUCUGGAAAAUAAAGGUGUCUCUGGAGUGUUGUUCCCUGCGAGAGGUUGGGAAUGCCAUUGUAUCCUGUCGUGACUCAGAUGACAUGAUCCUGAAGACAUUUCCCAUCUACGUGUUUAAGUUCUAUGCCAAUGGACAACGUUCACAUGAAUGACUCAGCUGCUCAGCUGGGCAGAUGGAAACGGUUCCAACAGUGCUUGGAGAGCAGUGGCUUGGACAGAGCAGUGAGAUUCAGGGCAUUGGACAAUGUUUUGGGUUACACCCUCAAAUUCCCAUGAACUUACUCUGUGUCACCUCAAGAUUCAGACCACAUGUGGGGUUAUUGAUAAGAUCCACUUGCCCAACUUCAGAUUCUGAGUGCCAAACUUUGGUUUGUGACUGCUGCAAAAGGACUAUUCUCUCUGAGCCAAACAACCACCAUCUUUCAGAGUUCAGCUGUGUCCACUAACAAAAGGUGGUCCCAGCUGGACCUGGUGACUGUUUGCAUGGACUAUCAGGUCAACCUCAUGCUGGCAGGAAGGGCCACAGCCCUCAGUUGAGUAUCCAGCCUCUCCAUGUUUCUGGUUGUAUGCACCUCUCUGUUAAUUGCACAUGGCCUCUGGGAGAGGCUGCAGUAUGUAGGCCAGCGAGGGGUGGGGGAAGGGAGCCUCCAUUUAUGCAGCAGCUAUGAGAAAAAGCCAUCAUCCCCACUAGGUAAAGACUUUUCAGUGUGGCCUUUUUGAGAAAAGGUAAGUCACCUCUUUCCCGUGCUCUAUAAGGAAGCCUAAUAAAUUCACUGAUUGCCCCA